GACCUAGUGGUGAAUGGAUCACACCUGCUCUCCUUACUCUGCUGUCACCGAAUUGAAGCAGAAAGCCCCGGUUCGAUUCCGGGCCAGGUCA